rnacentral:rRNA from 1 species
GACGAACGCUGGCGGCGUGCCUAAUACAUGCAAGUCGAGCGCAGGAAAUCAUCCGAACCCUUCGGGGGGACGUUGAUGGAAUGAGCGGCGGACGGGUGAGUAACACGUAAAGAACCUGCCCUCAGGUCUGGGAUAACCACGAGAAAUCGGGGCUAAUACCGGAUGGGUCAUCGGACCGCAUGGUCCGAGGAUGAAAGGCGCUUCGGCGUCGCCUGGAGAUGGCUUUGCGGUGCAUUAGCUAGUUGGUGGGGUAAUGGCCCACCAAGGCGACGAUGCAUAGCCGACCUGAGAGGGUGAUCGGCCACACUGGGACUGGGACACGGCCCAGACUCCUACGGGAGGCAGCAGUAGGGAAUCUUCCACAGUGGACGAAAGUCUGAUGGAGCAACGCCGCGUGAACGAUGAAGGCCUUCGGGUCGUAAAGUUCUGUUGUAAGGGAAGAACAAGUGCCGCAGGCAAUGGCGGCACCUUGACGGUACCUUGCGAGAAAGCCACGGCUAACUACGUGCCAGCCGCCGCAGUAA